UCUGGCUGCUUACAGCGGAGAUCCACAAAUUAUUCACUUCCAGCGAAGGAGCCCAGGGAAAAAGGGGCAGUGCACCCGAAACAAACUAAAGGGGGUGUCCUCGCGCCAGCCCGCCCCAGCCUAAACCAAACCUCUUAACCACCAUCGGCGGAGGAUCUCUUUAACCCAACUACCGAUGUCAAUUAUUUACACGUUUCCUAUGGAGAGCAGCAGGGCAUGGCUCGGGCAGCCGCUGCGUGAACCGGGCAGCUGCAGUCCUUCACACGGACCAGGUUUAUGUUUCAAAGACCGGUCCUGCUUCUGACCUCAAACGUUAAGCCAAGCUGUUCUGGGUGUCAUCGACCGUUAGCCGGCGGUGGGCAGCUCCUCAGUCAGAAGCCCACAGGGCCCCUCCCAGGCCCCCACCCCGGGGACGGGUGGAGGACUAGGAAGAGAUGGCAGAGAUUCAGCCCUUCCAGAAGUGGUUCGCCGCACAGAGAAUGGUCAGCCCUCUGUGAGUCCCCAGGGAAGCCGUGCUUGAACCCUGUCUUCUCUGUGGCUGUACUCCUCCCCAGGAAGAGGUUGCAGAGGGGUUUCUGAAAGCACCUAAGUUCUUUGGGGACACCAGAGGAACACCCACGCACUGCUGUGAUGGGACCGAAUACAUGACUUAGUCUCGGAUGGUGUCCACAUGGGUGGAGGCGGCCAUCACUCAGGGCUCCACGGACAAUGACUCGGUGGUCUUUGGAUUAAAAAAAAAUUUGUGCACUGACUGUGG